rnacentral:rRNA from 1 species
CCAGACUCCUACGGGAGGCAGCAGUGGGGGAUAUUGCACAAUGGGGGGAACCCUGAUGCAGCGACGCCGCGUGGGUGAAGGAGCGUUUCGGCGCGUAAAGCCCUAUCGGCAGGGAAGAAGGAGGACGGUACCUGACUAAGAAGCCCCGGCUAACUACGUGCCAGCAGCCGCGGUAAUACGUAGGGGGCAAGCGUUAUCCGGAUUUACUGGGUGUAAAGGGGGCGCAGACGGCGAUGCAAGCCAGGAGUGAAAGCCCGGGGCCCAACCCCGGGACUGCUCUUGGAACUGCGUGGCUAGAGUGCAGGAGGGGCAGGCGGAAUUCCUGGUGUAGCGGUGAAAUGCGUAGAUAUUAGGAGGAACACCAGUGGCGAAGGCGGCUUACUGGACUGUAACUGACGUUGAGGCUCGAAAGCGUGGGGAGCAAACAGGAUUAGAUACCCCCGUAGAA